rnacentral:rRNA from 1 species
GUCCCUACGGGACGCAGCAGUGGGGGAUAUUGCACAAUGGGGGGAACCCUGAUGCAGCGACGCCGCGUGGGUGAAGGAGCGUUUCGGCGCGUAAAGCCCUAUCGGCAGGGAAGAAGGAGGACGGUACCUGACUAAGAAGCCCCGGCUAACUACGUGCCAGCAGCCGCGGUAAUACGUAGGGGGCAAGCGUUAUCCGGAUUUACUGGGUGUAAAGGGAGCGUAGACGGCGCGGCAAGUCUGAAGUGAAAGGCAGGGGCUUAACCCCUGAACUGCUUUGGAAACUGCCAUGCUAGAGUGCUGGAGAG